rnacentral:rRNA from 1 species
AUGGGACGGAAAGAGUACAAAUAUACUAAAAUCUGCACAAUUCAGUUGAAUAGCCACCGCACCCUAAGCAGUUUGCCAUACCAAAUUGAUGAUUCUCCUUACCAAGCAAGCACCAAAUCGAUACGACAUGGACAUGCAUGCAGAUCCACUAUGCAUGGUGCACCAGACCAGAGCAGCCGGGUGAAAACCGCACCGCAUUUCUUUUCUGUCACGGCGAGGCGUGCUCUGCAUUACACGCCAAAGCUGCGGCCAUCAGGGCCAAGGGUCUCUCCGCCUCCUCCGUAUAUCACCGUCGCCACCUCUCCCUCCCUCCCUCCCUCCCUCGUUCCCUUCUCUCCCUCUCUCUCUCUCUCACUCGCAUUUGCCACAGACCCUCACUGCGCCAUGGACGAAGGAGGAGGGAGCCUGCACUCGCCUCCUCUCGCGAGGGCGCACGAGAUGUUCCUCCUCCGCGCCGCGGCUUUGCUCGGCGAUUCGCCAAGUUCCAUUGUAUCACAAUACCUGCGACAAUGGCCAGAAGUAUAUUCCCCUUGUUUCUGGACUAGCACUUUUGUAUUGAUACAACUUGUAUUUAUCACGAGCAUCGUGGCUCAGUAUCUGUUCAAGAGAAUCAGAUGGUGCAGGCAGAGGUUGAAGACCACAACUCCUGAAAGCAAUAAGCAUUCUAAUCAGGAACAACAGAAUGCAGACAUAAAGCUGGGCUUCUCAUAUCAAGCAAGCAAAGUCUGCUGCCUGCUUAUAUUAGCCACUCAUGUCCCGAGGAUAUUCUUUCUGCAGUUACAAGGAAGAAUAAGUGGUUGCAAGUACCCACCUUUUGUUCUGGGUGAAGGCAUACAGGUGCUCUCCUGGGUAAUAUUGUCACUAGCAGUAUUCAGUCUACAGAAGACAAAAUCUGCAAAGCAUCCGCUCAUUAUUCGGGCAUGGUUGAUACUUAGCUUUCUGCAAUCAAUAAUCAGUGUGAUAUUUGAUCUCAGGUUCAGCUUAUCAGAUCAUGGAUAUAUGGGGUUUGCAGAACUGAUUGACCUGUUCACACUUGUUAUCUGCACUUACCUGUUUGCAGUUUCUGUCAGAGGAAAAACAGGAAUCACCUCAAUAAACAGCGGCAUAACAGAGCCACUGUUGAGUCCAUCUGCAGGGCAGCAGGCAGAAACUAAAAGGACAUGUCUGUAUGGCAGGGCAAGCGUUCUGGACCUCGUCACGUUCUCCUGGAUGGGUCCUCUAUUUGCUACCGGAUAUAAGAAACCUCUAGAUAAGAAUGAUGUGCCAGAUAUUGAUGAAAGGGACUAUGCCGAUUUGCUCUCUCAUUCAUUUAAGAGGAUCCUAGCAGAUGUUGAACGCAGGCAUGGUUUGAGUACUUUAUCAAUCUAUAGAGCAAUGUUCCUAUUUAUUAGAAGAAAAGCAAUAAUUAAUGCAGUAUUUGCAAUUCUGUGUGCAUGUGCAUCCUAUGUUGGACCAUCACUGAUUAAUGACUUGGUGAGAUUCCUCGGGGGAGAGAGGAAGUAUGGACUGAAAAAAGGUUAUAUUCUUGCUGCUGCAUUUUUAAGUGCCAAAGUUGUGGAGACAGUAGCUCAGAGGCAGUGGAUUUUUGGUGCUCGACGGCUCGGGAUGCGGCUACGAGCUGCUUUGAUAUCCCACAUCUAUCAAAAGGGGCUCCGGUUAUCCUGCAGUGCAAGGCAGAAGCAUACCAGUGGAGAGAUCAUAAACUACAUGAGUGUAGAUAUACAGAGGAUAACCGAUGUUAUAUGGUACACAAACUACAUUUGGAUGUUACCCAUACAGCUUUCUCUAGCAGUCUAUGUUCUCUAUCUAAACCUAGGGGCUGGAGCAUGGGCUGGUUUAGCAGCAACACUGGCAAUAAUGGCUUGCAAUAUUCCUCUGACCAGACUGCAGAAAAGGUUGCAAUCAGAGAUCAUGGCUGCUAAAGACAACAGAAUGAAGGCAACAACGGAAGUACUUAGAAGCAUGAAAAUACUGAAACUUCAAGCAUGGGAUACAGAGUACCUUCAAAAGCUAGAAGCUUUGCGAAGGGAGGAGCACAAUUGGUUGUGGAAAUCUGUGAGGUUGACAGCUUUCACAACAUUCAUAUUUUGGGGGUCCCCUGCAUUCAUAUCCUCCAUAACAUUCGGUACAUGUAUAUUGAUGGGGAUUCCUCUAACAGCUGGUACUGUUCUGUCUGCUCUUGCAACGUUCCGGAUGCUACAAGAUCCAAUCUUCACACUUCCCGAUUUACUUUCGGUGUUUGCCCAGGGAAAAGUUUCAGCUGAUCGAGUAGCACAAUACCUCCAGGAAGAAGAAUUGAAAGACGACGCAAUUACAGAAGUACCAAGGCGUGACACAGACUAUGAUGUGGAGAUUGAUCAUGGAGCAUUCAGUUGGGAACUUGAAACCACAUCUCCAACUAUAACAGAUGUAAAUUUAAAAGUAAAGAGAGGGAUGAAAGUAGCAAUCUGUGGAAUGGUCGGCUCUGGGAAAUCCAGUCUACUAUCAUGCAUACUUGGGGAGAUGCCUAAGCUAGCCGGGGCUGUGAGGGUCAGUGGGAGCAGAGCAUAUGUUCCUCAGACUGCCUGGAUCCUGUCUGGGAACAUCAGAGACAACAUUCUAUUUGGAAACCCAUAUGACAAGGAAAAAUACCAAAAGAUAAUACAAGCUUGUGCAUUGACUAAAGAUCUUGAGCUAUUUGCAAAUGGUGACUUGACAGAGAUUGGAGAAAGAGGAAUUAACAUGAGUGGUGGACAGAAGCAGCGGAUUCAGAUUGCAAGGUCAGUGUACGAGGAUGCAGAUAUAUACCUCUUUGAUGACCCCUUCAGUGCAGUAGAUGCUCACACUGGGGCCCAACUUUUCAAGGAUUGCCUGAUGGGGAUGCUUAAAGACAAAACAAUAUUGUAUGUGACCCAUCAAGUUGAAUUUCUUCCAGCUGCAGACCUUAUACUAGUGAUGCAGGAUGGGAAGAUUGUGCAGAAAGGAAGAUUUGAUGAUCUUCUUAAACAGAACAUAGGAUUUGAAGCCAUAGUCGGAGCCCAUAGUCAGGCAAUUGACUCUGUUAUAAAUGCCGAGAGUUCUAGCAGAAUUUUGUCAACAGAGAGCCAAAAGUUAGCAGAUAGUGAUGAUGAGUUUGAGAGAGAAAACGACACUGAUGAUCAAGUUCAGGGCAUAAUUAAGCAAGAGUCUGAACACGAUGUCUCGCAAGGUGUCAAUGAAAAAGGAAGGCUGACACAAGAGGAAGAACGAGAAAAGGGAGGAAUUGGCAAGACGGUCUACUGGGCAUACCUGACGGCUGUUCAUGGUGGCGCAUUAGCACCAGUAAUAGUGGCGGCACAGUCAUUCUUCCAAAUAUUCCAGGUAGCAAGCAACUAUUGGAUGGCAUGGGCGUGUCCUCCAACAUCUGCAACCACUCCAAGGGUUGGAUUAGGCCUUCUUUUGUCUGUAUACAUAAUGCUAUCUAUAGGAAGUGCACUAUGUGUUUUUGGUCGGUCUAUACUUGUGUCACUUGUUGGCCUGUUAACAGCAGAGAAGUUCUUCAAGAAUAUGCUCCAUUGCAUUCUCCGAGCUCCCAUGUCCUUCUUUGAUUCCACGCCCACUGGCAGGAUCCUAAACAGGGUCUCCAGUGACCAAAGUGUUUUAGAUCUGGAAAUAGCAAGCAAGCUUGGUUGGUGCGCGUUUUCAGUUAUACAAAUUCUGGGGACCAUUGGGGUUAUGUCACAGGUUGCGUGGCCAGUUUUCGCCAUCUUUAUUCCAGUGACAGCAAUCUGUUAUGCGUUUCAAAGGUACUACAUACCAACAGCAAGAGAGCUGGCUCGUCUGUCACAAAUUCAAAGGGCUCCAAUCCUCCACCAUUUCGCAGAAUCACUUACAGGAGCAGCAAGUAUUAGAGCAUAUGGGCAGAAAGACCGUUUCAGCAAAGCAAACAUCAGUCUUGUUAACAACCACUCACGACCAUGGUUCCAUAACAUCUCAGCUGUGGAGUGGCUUUGCUUCAGGCUAAACAUGCUAUCUAACUUUGUCUUUGCCUUUUCUUUGACUCUGUUGGUGAGCCUUCCCGAAGGUUUCAUAAAUCCGAGCAUCGCUGGACUUGCAGUGACUUAUGCACUGAACCUCAAUGGGCAGUUGUCAUCUAUAACCUGGAACAUUUGCAACACAGAGAAUAAAAUGAUUUCAGUUGAAAGAAUAAUGCAGUACUCAAGGAUCCCUAGUGAGGCUCCUCUAAUAGUUGAUGAUCACCGCCCCCCAAACAGCUGGCCAAAGGAUGGCACUAUAAAUAUAAGAAACUUGGAGGUUCGAUAUGCAGAGCAUCUCCCAUCUGUUUUAAGAAACAUAUCAUGUACAAUUCCAGGACGGAAGAAGGUGGGGAUUGUUGGACGUACUGGCAGUGGAAAGUCAACUUUGAUUCAAGCGCUUUUCCGGAUUGUUGAACCAAGACAAGGGACAAUUGAAAUUGAUGAUGUCGAUCUCAGCAAAAUCGGGUUGCAUGAUUUACGUGGCAGACUUAGCAUCAUCCCACAAGAUCCAACCAUGUUUGAGGGCACAGUGAGAGGAAAUCUUGAUCCACUGAAUGAAUAUUCUGAUCAACAUAUAUGGGAGACAUUGGACAAAUGCCAGCUUGGUGACAUAGUUCGUCAAAGCCCAAAGAAGCUGGACUCAACAGUUGUCGAAAAUGGGGAAAACUGGAGCGUCGGACAGAGGCAGUUGUUUUGUCUGGGAAGGGUUCUACUGAAGCGAAGCAAUGUCCUUGUCCUCGACGAGGCAACUGCUUCAGUUGACUCAUCUACGGAUGCAAUUAUCCAGCAAACACUCCGUGAGGAGUUUGGGGACUGCACGGUGCUGACAGUAGCACACAGAAUUCACACAGUUAUCGACAGUGAUUUGAUUCUUGUCUUCAGCGAAGGAAGAAUUAUAGAAUACGACACGCCGUCAAGAUUACUGGAGGACGAGAACUCUGAAUUCUCAAGGCUCGUCAAGGAGUACUCGCGGAGAUCCAAGGGGUUCUAA